GACGAACGCUGGCGGCGUGCUUAACACAUGCAAGUCGAACGGUGACCCAGGGCUUGCCCUGGUGAUCAGUGGCGAACGGUGAGUAACACGUGGGCAACCUGCCCCUGACUUCGGGAUAACUCCUCGAAAGAGGAGCUAAUACCGGAUACGACCACUUCGGACAUCCGAUGGUGGUGGAAAGUUUUUCGGUCAGGGAUGGGCCCGCGGCCUAUCAGCUAGUUGGUGGGGUAAUGGCCUACCAAGGCGACGACGGGUAGCCGGCCUGAGAGGGCGACCGGCCACACUGGGACUGAGACACGGCCCAGACUCCUACGGGAGGCAGCAGUGGGGAAUAUUGCGCAAUGGGCGAAAGCCUGACGCAGCGACGCCGCGUGAGGGAUGAAGGCCUCGGGUUGUAAACCUCUUUCAGCAGGGACGAAGCGAAAGUGACGGUACCUGCAGAAGAAGCACCGGCUAACUACGUGCCAGCAGCCGCGGU
rnacentral:rRNA from 1 species